rnacentral:tRNA from 1 species
GAAGAUGUAGCCCAAAGGUAGAGUGUUAUAACUUCUCAAAUUAAAGGUUGUUGGUUCGAAUCCAAUCAUCUUCA